GGAUGCUUACCCAAGUGGUUGAAGGGUUCGGUUUCGAAAACCGAUAGAUAGUGAAAGCUAUGCGGGAGUUCGAAUCUCUCAGCAUCCGCCA
rnacentral:tRNA from 1 species